rnacentral:rRNA from 1 species
UACAGAGGUCUCAAGCGUUGUUCGGAUUCAUUGGGCGUAAAGGGUGUGUAGGUGGCGCGGUAAGUCGGGUGUGAAAUUUCGAGGCUUAACUUCGAAACUGCAUUCGAUACUGCCGUGCUUGAGGGACUGGAGAGGAGACUGGAAAUUUACGGUGUAGCGGUGAAAUGCGUAGAUAGUCGUAAGGAAGACCCAGUGGGCGAAG